GACAGAGGAUGCAAGCGUUAUCCGGAAUGAUUGGGCGUAAAGCGUCUGUAGGUGGCUUUUUAAGUCUGCUGUCAAAUCCCAGGGCUUAACCCUGGACAGGCGGUGGAAACUACCAAGCUGGAGUACGGUAGGGGUAGAGGGAAUUCCCGGUGUAGCGGUGAAAUGCGUAGAGCUCGGGAAGAACAUCGGUGGCGAAAGCGCUCUACUGGACUGCAACUGACGCUGAGGGACGAAAGCUAGGGGAGCGAAUGGG
rnacentral:rRNA from 1 species